GAGACGAUGGACACGGACGCCGGAUUUUCGACGGAUAGUGAAAUGGAACGGCUUGUCGAGUUGAGAUCAG
ensembl:ncRNA Y46E12BM.1 ncRNA